CCUACGGGAGGCAGCAGUGAGGAAUAUUGGUCAAUGGUCGGGAGACUGAACCAGCUAAGCCGCGUGAGGGAUGACGGUACAGAGUAUCGUAAACCUCUUUUGUCAGGGAACAAAGGCGGGGACGUGUCCCCGGAUGAGUGUACCUGAAGAAAAAGCAUCGGCUAACUCCGUGCCAGCAGCCGCGGUAAUACGGAGGAUGCGAGCGUUAUCCGGAUUUAUGGGGUUUAACGGGUGCGCAGGCGGUCUGUUAAGUCAGCGGUCAAAGCCCGGGCCUCAACCCGGGCCGGCCGUUGAAACUGGCAGUCUCGAGUUGGAGAGAGGUAUGCGGAAUGCGCGGUGUAGCGGUGAAAUGCAUAGAUAUCGCGCAGAACUCCGAUUGCGAAGGCAGCAUGCCGGCUCCACACUGACGCUGAGGCACGAAAGCGUGGGUAUCGAACAGGAUUAGAUACCCUAGUAGUC
rnacentral:rRNA from 1 species